CACUGAAGACUACAGCAAUAAACUGCAUCAACAACUGUACCAGCCAUCACAGAAAAUUGCUGUUGACGAACACACUGUCAAAUCAAGGAAUAGGUUGGGGAUUAGGCAGUUCAUGAAAGAUGGCCUACUAUGUGGGAGAUAAAUCUGUGGGUUGCUGCAGACAGUCCUAAUGGUUAUAUUGCGACUUUGAGAUACAUACAGGAAGAAGUCCAG